rnacentral:rRNA from 1 species
AUACGGAGGGUGCAAGCGUUAAUCGGAAUUACUGGGCGUAAAGGGCGCGUAGGCGGUCUAUCAAGUCAGGCGUGAAAUCCCACGGCUCAACCGUGGAGGUGCAUCUGAAACUGAUAGACUUGAGUAUGGGAGAGGAAAGUGGAAUUCCCGGUGUAGAGGUGAAAUUCGUAGAUAUCGGGAGGAACACCAGUGGCGAAGGCGACUUUCUGGACCAAUACUGACGCUGAGGCGCGAAAGCGUGGGGAGCAAACAGGAUUAGAUACCCUAGUAGUCC